rnacentral:tRNA from 1 species
CUAGUAGCUCAGCUGGUUAGAGCGCACGCCUGAUAAGCGUGAGGUCGGAGGUUCAAGUCCCCCCUGGCC